GGCUCAGGACGAACGCUGGCGGCGUGCUUAACACAUGCAAGUCGAACGAUGAUCUCCAGCUUGCUGGGGGGAUUAGUGGCGAACGGGUGAGUAACACGUGAGUAACCUGCCCUGGACUCUGGGAUAACCCCGAGAAAUCGGAGCUAAUACCGGAUAGGACCUGGAACCGCAUGGUUUUGGGUGGAAAGUUUUUCGGUCUGGGAUGGACUCGCGGCCUAUCAGCUUGUUGGUGAGGUAAUGGCUCACCAAGGCGUCGACGGGUAGCCGGCCUGAGAGGGUGACCGGCCACACUGGGACUGAGACACGGCCCAGACUCCUACGGGAGGCAGCAGUGGGGAAUAUUGCACAAUGGGCGCAAGCCUGAUGCAGCAACGCCGCGUGCGGGAUGACGGCCUUCGGGUUGUAAACCGCUUUUAGUAAGGAAGAAGGGAAGCGCAAGCUUUUUGACGGUACUUGCAGAAAAAGGACCGGCUAACUACGUGCCAGCAGCCGCGGUAAUACGUAGGGUCCGAGCGUUGUCCGGAAUUAUUGGGCGUAAAGAGCUCGUAGGCGGUUUGUCGCGUCUGCUGUGAAAUCCCGAGGCUCAACCUCGGGUCUGCAGUGGGUACGGGCAGACUGGAGUGCGGUAGGGGAGAAUGGAAUUCCUGGUGUAGCGGUGGAAUGCGCAGAUAUCAGGAGGAACACCGAUGGCGAAGGCAGUUCUCUGGGCCGUAACUGACGCUGAGGAGCGAAAGCGUGGGGAGCGAACAGGAUUAGAUACCCUGGUAGUCCACGCCGUAAACGUUGGGCGCUAGAUGUGGGGACCUUUCCACGG
rnacentral:rRNA from 1 species